CAGUUUCUCUUCAAGAAAAUAUCCAGUUACGAGCUCGUUUACGAUGAUUUUGCUGGCUGGGUACGUAUAUAUGUAUGUGCUUAUUUUAUCGCGUUUAAAUUUUUGUUCUUAGUAGGUCUACAAAACGCCUAACAGCUAUCAUUGUGUCGCCACUUACUUCUUUAUCGACUGCUCUAUUAAUAUUGUGGACUUUAUUGAAACAAUUUUUAGAAUAUUGAAACCAGGCAGCAUUUUGGAUGAAGUUGGGUCCACUACUUUAUCAUUUCAGCUAUAUACAGGGCGAGAAUAGCACCGAACCUACUUUUGAAAAUUUGGAGCUAAUCAUCAACAUGGUUGGUUUUAAUUUUCUUCGUAGCCAAACAGGCGUACGCACUAAAUAUGCAUAAAACCCACAAUCCAUGCUUAAAAGUGAAUAUGAGAGCUUAUUUUGGAUUUGUCGCGAGCCAGAAAAUCCAGUUGACCGAAAUAACGAUUAAUCGCGUUGCGAUGAUGAAUCUGAUGAGCUUGUUGAUGGCGACGUUGGCAGUAGCAGCAACAAUAGUCACUAUGAAGAUAACUACAGCAAUGGCUAGAUACGCAUACCAACAUCAAUAGUAUUGGCGGCAAAAGGCGCAAGGUAUUAUCUUGGCUAACACUUAGUUAUUAGUAAUUUUGCAAUCCUAGUUUUUUGUUUUUUGACACAAACAUAA